rnacentral:rRNA from 1 species
CAGUAGCCGCGGUAAUACAAAGGGUGCAAGCGUUACUCGGAAUUACUGGGCGUAAAGCGUGCGUAGGUGGUGGUUUAAGUCCGUUGUGAAAGCCCUGGGCUCAACCUGGGAAUUGCAGUGGAUACUGGGUCACUAGAGUGUGGUAGAGGAUAGUGGAAUUUCCGGUGUAGCAGUGAAAUGCGUAGAGAUCGGAAGGAACGUCUGUGGCGAAGGCGACUAUCUGGGCCAACACUGACACUGAGGCACGAAAGCGCGGGGAGCAAACAGGAUUAGAUACCCCCGUAGUCCCUGUCUCUUAUAC